rnacentral:rRNA from 1 species
GAUGAACGCUGGCGGCGUGCCUAAUACAUGCAAGUCGAGCGAACGGACGAGACUUUUGCUGGUUGGAUGUUAGCCGAGGACGGGUGUGUAACGUGUGGAAAACGUACCUAUAAGAGGGGGAUAAUCUCGGGAAACGGGAGCUAACCCGGGAGAAGCUUUUGAAGCGCGUGGGUCAAAAGUGAAAUACGGUCGUUCGGGCAGUUAUCGAGGGUUCCGAGCUGCAUUGGCUAGUAGGUAAGGUAACGGCUUACUACGGCAAGGAGGCAUAGCCGACCGGAUUGGGUGGUCGGCCGCACUGGAACUGAGCCGCGGACCAUACUCCUACGGUAGGCAGCAGUCGCGAAUCUUCCGCAAUGGGCGAAAGCCUGACGGAGCGACGCGGCGCGAGUGACGAAGGUCCUCGGUUCGUGAAACUCUGUUUUUGGUUGUAAACCUAUGUGUAAGUAACUGUGCCGAUAUUGACGGUACCUGGUCAAAAAGCCACGGCUAACUACGUG